CCUACACCUCCUACACCUGUUGCCGUGGCUCAUCACGCUCAAGCCUUCCUACCUUCCCGCUUGGAUUCCAGAGAGAAAGUUUGAUCCACCACUGCCUGCCCUCCUCGGCCCCUAUCCAGCUCGGAGUCAGCCUGCCUUGUGUUUUCUGUCCUUGGCUGCUAAAUUAUCUCCCGCAGAAAGAAACUACAAUGUUGGAAACCGAGAACUACUGGCCUGGACCGACCAUAAAAACAUGGCAUUCAUCCAAUCCACCAAAAGACUCAACUCACGUCAAGUCAGGGUGCCAUCCCCAACCCAUGGGUCGGACUGAGAGAGCCAACCAGGACCUAGAAGCAUCUCUUUGUUGUAUGUCUGCUCAGCGUCCGUCCUCCUGGGCCAACAUCUCCCGUGGAUAGAGUAUGCCCACAACUCCCUGACCACCUCCGCCACUGGCUUCUCACUUUUCGAGGUUGCCCUGGGAUACCAACACCCCCCCCCCCCCCCCCCCCCCCCCCCCCCCCCCCCCCUUGUUUCCUGUUCAGGAGAG